AUUCAAGGGUGUGGCGCGAGCUCCUUAGGGAGCGAAGCAAUUGGAAGUGGUUCCAAGAAAAGCCUCUAAGCUUCAGUCUAACGAUGACCGUACCGCAAACCGACACAGGUGGGCGAGAUGAGUAUUCUAAGGCGCUUGAGAGAACUCGGGAGAAGGAACUCGGCAAAUUGGUACCGUAACUUCGGGAUAAGGUACGCCCUUGUAGCUUGACCAGCCUGCGCUGGAAGGGUGAAGGGGUUGCAAUAAACUGGUGGCUGCGACUGUUUAAUAAAAACACAGCACUCUGCAAACACGAAAGUGGACGUAUAGGGUGUGACGCCUGCCCGGUGCCGGAAGAUUAAAUGAUGGGGUGCAAGCUCUUGAUUGAAGUCCCGGUAAACGGCGGCCGUAACUAUAACGGUCCUAAGGUAGCGAAAUUCCUUGUCGGGUAAGUUCCGACCUGCACGAAUGGCGUAACGAUGGCCACACUGUCUCCUCCCGAGACUCAGCGAAGUUGAAGUGUUUGUGAUGAUGCAAUCUACCCGCGGCUAGACGGAAAGACCCCAUGAACCUUUACUGUAGCUUUGCAUUGGACUUUGAACCGAUCUGUGUAGGAUAGGUGGGAGGCUAUGAAACCGGAACGCUAGUUUCGGUGGAGCCGUCCUUGAAAUACCACCCUGGUUUGUUUGAGGUUCUAACCUUGGCCCGUGAUCCGGGUCGGGGACAGUGCAUGGUAGGCAGUUUGACUGGGGCGGUCUCCUCCCAAAGCGUAACGGAGGAGUACGAAGGUACGCUAGGUACGGUCGGAAAUCGUGCUGAUAGUGCAAUGGCAUAAGCGUGCUUAACUGCGAGACCGACAAGUCGAGCAGGUGCGAAAGCAGGUCAUAGUGAUCCGGUGGUUCUGUAUGGAAGGGCCAUCGCUCAACGGAUAAAAGGUACUCUGGGGAUAACAGGCUGAUACCGCCCAAGAGUUCAUAUCGACGGCGGUGUUUGGCACCUCGAUGUCGGCUCAUCUCAUCCUGGGGCUGUAGCCGGUCCCAAGGGUAUGGCUGUUCGCCAUUUAAAGAGGUACGUGAGCUGGGUUUAAAACGUCGUGAGACAGUUUGGUCCCUAUCUGCCGUGGGCGUUGGAUAUUUGAAGGGGGCUGCUCCUAGUACGAGAGGACCGGAGUGGACGAACCUCUGGUGUACCGGUUGUCACGCCAGUGGCAUCGCCGGGUAGCUAUGUUCGGAAGAGAUAACCGCUGAAAGCAUCUAAGCGGGAAACUCGCCUUAAGAUGAGAUAUCCCUGGGGACUAGAUCCCCUUGAAGGGUCGUUCGAGACCAGGACGUUGAUAGGUC
rnacentral:rRNA from 1 species